CCUACGGGUGGCAGCAGUGGGGAAUAUUGCACAAUGGGGGAGACCCUGAUGCAGCGACGCCGCGUGAGUGAAGAAGUAUUUCGGUAUUUAAAGCUCUAUCAGCAGAGAAAAAAAUGACGGUACCUGAUUAAUAAGCCCCGGCUAACUACGUGCCAGACGCCGCGGUUAUACGUAGGGGGCAAGCGUUAUCCGGAUUUACUGGGUGUAAAGGGAGCGUAGACGGGAGGGCAAGUCUGAAGUGAAAUGCCGGGGCUUAACCCCGGAACUGCUUUUGAAACUGUGCAGCUAGAGUGCAGGUGAGGUAAGUGGAAUUCGUAGUGUAGCGGUGAAAUGCGUAGAUAUUAGGAGGAACACCAGUGGCGAAGGCGGCUUACUGAACUGUAACUGACGUUGAGGCUCGAAAGCGUGGGGAGCAAACAGGAUUAGAUACCCUGGUAGUC
rnacentral:rRNA from 1 species